GGUUUGAGGUUUUGAAGGCUGCUACGAUACCCCGUCUCUAUCAUUCAACUGCUCAUUUGCUUUCAGAUGGACGUGUCCUGGUCGCCGGCAGCAACCCCAACCAUAAUUACAACUUCACAGUACCUUUUCCAACUGAACUGAGUGUUGAAGCCUUUUCUCCACCGUACCUCACUUCAGGGAAGCCCCGGCCCUCCAUUUCUUCAGUAAAGCCCGGGAUGAACCUUGCUUAUAAACAGAAGUUUUCAGUGGAAUUUCAAGUGAAGGUGAGACAACUAGGAAAGUUUUACCUAAC
rnacentral:lncRNA from 1 species